UCCACAUCACUCUACUCCCUGCGAUUGGCAUCCGCCUUUUUGAGGAUGAGCCGAUCUUGAUACAGUUUUCCCAUGUGUAUAGUAUACAUUCCCAUGUGUAUAGCAUACAGUACAAAUGUACAGAAAUUAUAGAAACAAAGACCAAAGUUUUGAUCGAUCUCAGAUUUUGCGAUAUUGAUAAUAUUCUCUUGGGGCUUUGUGAUGAAUAUUGGCAUGACAAAAGGAAAUGUGUAUGAUUUCAAUCCAUCAUGUAUUCGUUAGGUUCUGUUAAUUAGGUUUGUGUUACAGGUUACUUUUUUGUGCUAAUGAUAGCAACAAUGAUGUUAGACCUACCAUAAAACUGGUAGGUUAUCGGUUGCAUUACACCUACCAUAAGAUUCAUGAUUAGCCUUAUUUUAUGGAUCUCACUUAUCAUGCAUGGGACACGCCAGGUGGAAGCCACAUGGUUGAUGGUUGUACUUGCACAUAAAUCAACUAGCCAGAUUCAUCGUUGCAAAUGGUGGCUUCAUAUGUUCAGUUAGUAUUUAGGAGCGCCACAAAGGAUGUAAGCAGAAGCAGAUAGCACAGCCUGGAACAACGUGCUGAUUAAAUAAGUGAUUCCUUACACCAGCAAUCACCGACCGCCCUGGGGGUGCAGGUAGCAAAGGUGUGUAAGUGCUUCUACUUCUGCACUAUAUACGAGGGUAGCAAAAUGUGCGUGCUGAGGUAGACGCCAUCCAAGAGCUGCACUUGGUUCUGAAAAGAGGAGACACUGAAGCUUUCAGGUCAAUAUUCAGU